AAUCCCGACGCUUCCCGCCUUGGCUUCUUUCUCUUAUCCGAGGAAGCUCUCCUCCAAGUCCUCCUCGAGAUUCAACAGAAUCCUCACUUUUGCGUCCUCGAUUCUCGCUACAUCCAGCAUCUCUUCACCUUCGGCGACCUCUCCCCACCUCCCCUCUCGCGUUUCAACCAUACUUACCCUGUUUCUUCACCCAAUGAAUACUCUCUCUUUUUCGCCAAUUGCGCCCCCGAAACCCGCGUUUCGAUGAACGUCCGAACCGAGACCUACAAUCUCGAACGCGACGGUUCCAAAGAUUACCUCUCCGCUGGUUUAACCCACCUCCCUUCCCUUUACACCUUCUUCUCCAUCCUCUACUUAGUCUUCUUGGGUAGUUGGAUCUACGUUUGUUAUAACAACAAACGAUCCGUGCACCGGAUCCAUUUAUUGAUGAGCGGUUUACUUUUAUUCAAAGCUUUGAAUCUGAUCUGCGCUGCCGAAGAUAAGCAUUACGUUAAGGUUACCGGAACUCCUCACGGCU
rnacentral:lncRNA from 1 species